rnacentral:rRNA from 1 species
CCAGAGGAAGGCUCGUCCGCUCUGGGUUAGUCGGGUCCUAAGCUGAGGCCGACAGGCGUAGGCGAUGGAUAACAGGUUGAUAUUCCUGUACCACCUAUAAUCGUUUUAAUCGAUGGGGGGACGCAGUAGGAUAGGCGAAGCGUGCGAUUGGAUUGCACGUCUAAGCAGUAAGGCUGAGUAUUAGGCAAAUCCGGUACUCAUUAAGGCUGAGCUGUGAUGGGGAGAAGACAUUGUGUCUUCGAGUCGUUGAUUUCACACUGCCGAGAAAAGCCUCUAGAUAGAAAAUAGGUGCCCGUACCGCAAACCGACACAGGUAGUCAAGAUGAGAAUUCUAAGGUGAGCGAGCGAACUCUCGUUAAGGAACUCGGCAAAAUGACCCCGUAACUUCGGGAGAAGGGGUGCUCUUUAGGGUUAACGCCCAGAAGAGCCGCAGUGAAUAGGCCCAAGCGACUGUUUAUCAAAAACACAGGUCUCUGCUAAACCGUAAGGUGAUGUAUAGGGGCUGACGCCUGCCCGGUGCUGGAAGGUUAAGAGGAGUGGUUAGCUUCUGCGAAGCUACGAAUCGAAGCCCCAGUAAACGGCGGCCGUAACUAUAACGGUCCUAAGGUAGCGAAAUUCCUUGUCGGGUAAGUUCCGACCCGCACGAAAGGCGUAACGAUUUGGGCACUGUCUCAACGAGAGACUCGGUGAAAUCAUAGUACCUGUGAAGAUGCAGGUUACCCGCGACAGGACGGAAAGACCCCGUGGAGCUUUACUGUAGCCUGAUAUUGAAAUUCGGCACAGCUUGUACAGGAUAGGUAGGAGCCUUUGAAACGUGAGCGCUAGCUUACGUGGAGGCGCUGGUGGGAUACUACCCUAGCUGUGUUGGCUUUCUAACCCGCACCACUUAUCGUGGUGGGAGACAGUGUCAGGCGGGCAGUUUGACUGGGGCGGUCGCCUCCUAAAAGGUAACGGAGGCGCUCAAAGGUUCCCUCAGAAUGGUUGGAAAUCAUUCAUAGAGUGUAAAGGCAUAAGGGAGCUUGACUGCGAGACCUACAAGUCGAGCAGGGUCGAAAGACGGACUUAGUGAUCCGGUGGUUCCGCAUGGAAGGGCCAUCGCUCAACGGAUAAAAGCUACCCCGGGGAUAACAGGCUUAUCUCCCCCAAGAGUUCACAUCGACGGGGAGGUUUGGCACCUCGAUGUCGGCUCAUCGCAUCCUGGGGCUGUAGUCGGUCCCAAGGGUUGGGCUGUUCGCCCAUUAAAGCGGUACGCGAGCUGGGUUCAGAACGUCGUGAGACAGUUCGGUCCCUAUCCGUCGUGGGCGUAGGAAAUUUGAGAGGAGCUGUCCUUAGUACGAGAGGACCGGGAUGGACAUACCUCUGGUGUACCAGUUGUCGUGCCAACGGCAUAGCUGGGUAGCUAUGUGUGGACGGGAUAAGUGCUGAAA